rnacentral:rRNA from 1 species
AACGAACGCUGGCGGCAUGCCUAACACAUGCAAGUCGAACGAGGCCUUCGGGUCUAGUGGCGCACGGGUGCGUAACGCGUGGGAACCUGCCCUUAGGUUCGGAAUAACUCCCCGAAAGGGGUGCUAAUACCGGAUAAUGUCUUCGGACCAAAGAUUUAUCGCCUUUGGAUGGGCCCGAGUUGGAUUAGCUAGUUGGUAGGGUAAAAGCCUACCAAGGCGACGAUCCAUAGCUGGUCUGAGAGGAUGAUCAGCCACACUGGGACUGAGACACGGCCCAGACUCCUACGGGAGGCAGCAGUGGGGAAUAUUGGACAAUGGGCGAAAGCCUGAUCCAGCAAUGCCGCGUGAGUGAUGAAGGCCUUAGGGUUGUAAAGCUCUUUUACCCGGGAUGAUAAUGACAGUACCGGGAGAAUAAGCUCCGGCUAACUCCGUG